rnacentral:rRNA from 1 species
AUCUCGUAUGGAUUAAAGCUUUAUGCGCUUUGGAGGGGCCUGCGUUUGAUUAGCUAGUUGGUGAGGUAAAAGCUCACCAAGGCGACGAUCAAUAGCUGGUUUGAGAGGAUGACCAGCCACACUGGGACUGAGAUACGGCCCAGACUCCUACGGGAGGCAGCAGUAAGGAAUCUUCCACAAUGGGGGCAACCCUGAUGGAGCAAUACCGCGCGCAGGAUGAAGCGUUUCGGCGUGUAAACUGCUUUUAUCACCGAAGAUUAUGACUGUAGGUGAAGAAUAAGGACCGGCUAACUACGUG